AGCUCCAAUAGCGUAUAUUAAAGUUGUUGCAGUUAAAAAGCUCGUAGUUGAAUUUUGGGUCUGAUUGUUGGGUCUUGUCGCAAGAUAGGUACUCAACGGUUGGGCCUUUCCUUCUGGCGAACUAUUGUGCUAUUCAGUUAGUGUGAUAGGGAUCCAGGACUUUUACUUUGAAAAAAUUAGAGUGUUUAAAGCAGGCUUACGCUUGAAUACAUUAGCAUGGAAUAAUAGAAUAGGACUUUGGUUCUAUUUUGUUGGUUUCUAGGACCGAAGUAAUGAUUAAUAGGGAUAGUUGGGGGCAUUAGUAUUUAAUUGUCAGAGGUGAAAUUCUUGGAUUUAUGAAAGACUAACUUCUGCGAAAGCAUUUGCCAAGGAUGUUUUCA
rnacentral:rRNA from 1 species